GUGGGUUUGUACGGUCUCUGAUGUCUGGCUAGAGCGACGCUGGCGGCGUACUUAACACAUGCAAGUCGUACGAGGAUCGUCGGGUUAGCAAUAAUUCGGCGGUUCGAGUGGCGCACGGGUGAGUAACACGUGGGUAACCCACCCUUGAGACCGGGAUACCCUCUCGAAAGGGAGGCUAAUACUGGAUACGUUCCCUGGGACGCAAGAUCUGGGGAGGAAAGGUGGCGAAAGCUGCCGCUCUUGGAGGGGCUCGCGGCCUAUCAGCUAGUUGGUGAGGUAACGGCUCACCAAGGCUAUGACGGGUAGCUGGUCUGAGAGGACGACCAGCCACACGGGAACUGAGACACGGUCCCGACUCCUACGGGAGGCAGCAGUGGGGAAUUUUCCGCAAUGGGCGAAAGCCUGACGGAGUGACGCCGCGUGGGGGACGAAGGCCUUCGGGUCGUAAACCCCUGUCAGAGGGAAAGAAGGGUGUCGGCGUGAAUAGCGCCGGCACUUGACGGUACCUUCAGAGGAAGCCCCGGCCAACUCUGUGCCAGCAGCCGCGGUAAGACAGAGGGGGCAAGCGUUGCUCGGAAUUACUGGGCGUAAAGGGCGCGUAGGCGGGAUGGCAAGUCGGUCGUGAAAUCCUUCGGCUCAACCGAAGAACGUCGGCCGAUACUGCCGUUCUUGAGGGAUGCAGAGGAGAUUGGAAUUCCCGGUGUAGCGGUGAAAUGUGUAGAGAUCGGGAGGAACACCGGUGGCGAAGGCGGGUCUCUGGGCAUCUCCUGACGCUGAGGCGCGAAAGCGUGGGGGGAGCAAACGGGAUUAGAUACCCCGGUAGUCACGCUGUAAACGAUGACGACUAGGUGUGGGGGGGGGUUAGUCCCUUUCCGUGCCGCAGCUAACGGCAUUAAGUCGUCCGCCC
rnacentral:rRNA from 1 species